rnacentral:rRNA from 1 species
GGAUAUUGCACAAUGGGCGCAAGCCUGAUGCAGCAACGCCGCGUGAGCGAUGAAGGCCUUCGGGUCGUAAAGCUCUUUUCGGGGUGACGAGACAAGGACGGUAGCCCCGGACUAAGUCUCGGCUAACUACGUGCCAGCAGCCGCGGUAAAACGUAGGAGGCAAACGUUAUCCGGAGUUACUGGGCGUAAAGCGCGUGUAGGCGGUUGGGCAAGUUCGGCGUGAAAGCUCCCGGCUAAACUGGGAGAUUGCGUUGGAAACUACCUGACUGGAGUGCGGCAGAGGAGUAGGGAAUUCCGGGUGUAGUGGUGAAAUGCGUAGAUAUCCGGAGGAACACCAGUGGCGAAGGCGCUGCUCUGGGCCGUAACUGACGCUGAGACGCGAAAGCGUGGGGAGCGAACGGG